rnacentral:rRNA from 1 species
GACGAACCGUGCGAACGUUGUUCGGAAUCACUGGGCUUAAAGGGCGCGUAGGCGGGCUGGAAAGUCCGUGGUGAAAUCCCCCGGCCCAACCGGGGAACGGCCUCGGAUACUUUCGGCCUGGAGGCGGGUAGGGGCGAGCGGAACUGUGGGUGGAGCGGUGAAAUGCGUUGAGAUCCACAGGAACUCCGGUGGCGAAGGCGGCUCGCUGGACCCGAUCUGACGCUGAGGCGCGAAAGCUAGGGGAGCAAACGGG